ensembl:lncRNA
AUGUUUCCGGGAUAGGCUCCAGGUCCACCACAACCCUGUCCAGGAUAAAUGAGACCAGGUAGCAGUGCCACUAUCUUUGUCCUGUAGUGCCCCAGAGGCUCCUGAUGUACUGAGCAAAGGUCAUGGGGAACCUGGACCCUAUCGCUAGGAACUUGGGGCAGAAGGCGGAGGACACCUUGGAUGAGAUGCUAAUCACACACCAAUUCACACACGAUGGACAAUCUGGAAAUGCCAAUCACCCUACAAUGUAUGACUUUGGCCUGGGGGAAAACCCCGAAGCACAGGGAGAACAUGCAAACUCCGUCCUGGAUUUGGGAUUCGAAUCCCCAACCCUGGAGGCAAAUGUGCUAACCACUAAGGCACCAUGCCCCAUAAGCUAAAAUUACUAAUAAAGGUUUAACAACAUUAGUAACUAACUUUAGUGUAGGUACUUAGGUAUGGUAAUGGAAGUACCAUAUUUUUUGGUAUUUGAAGUAUUAUUAUACGUGCAUAAGAUCCAUCAGAGAGUCUGUAGGCAGAGCAUCUGAGUCUGAGACUAUUUCUCUGUUGGCCUACCUCAUUCAACUCAGCCAUUAAUGACUGAUGAGCUGUGAUGGGCUCAGUGUGAAUAUACAGUAGAUGGCUAAAGUGGCAUUGCUCAGCUUCCUGUUUAAAGCUGCCUUCGCU